UUAACGGAGCGAAAGCGACGUUCAACCGCAAAACAAGCAGAGGGGGCUUAGUGGUGGGGUGACUGCGUACCUUUUGUAUAAUGGGUCAGCGACUUAUAUUCUGUAGCAAGGUUAACCGAAUAGGGGAGCCGGAGGGAAACCGAGUCUUAAUUGGGCGUUAAGUUGCAGGGUAUAGACCCGAAACCCGGUGAUCUAGCCAUGGGCAGGUUGAAGGUUGGGUAACACUAACUGGAGGACCGAACCGACUAAUGUUGAAAAAUUAGCGGAUGACCUGUGGCUGGGGGUGAAAGGCCAAUCAAACCGGGAGAUAGCUGGUUCUCCCCGAAAGCUAUUUAGGUAGCGCCUCGUGAAUUCAUCUCCGGGGGUAGAGCACUGUUUCGGCUAGGGGGCCAUCCCGGCUUACCAACCCGAUGCAAACUGCGAAUACCGGAGAAUGUUAUCACGGGAGACACACGGCGGGUGCUAACGUCCGUCGUGAAGAGGGAAACAACCCAGACCGCCAGCUAAGGUCCCAAAGUCAUGGUUAAGUGGGAAACGAUGUGGGAAGGCCCAGACAGCCAGGAUGUUGGCUUAGAAGCAGCCAUCAUUUAAAGAAAGCGUAAUAGCUCACUGGUCGAGUCGGCCUGCGCGGAAGAUGUAACGGGGCUAAACCAUGCACCGAAGCUGCGGCAGCGAACGUAUCACCCAAGACAACUUUACGGAGUUGACGAUUGACGGAGCGAAGCGACGUCAAAGCGUUCAUUAAAGUCGAGUUGGCUUAGGGAUACGUUCGUUGGGUAGGGGAGCGUUCUGUAAGCCUGUGAAGGUGUGUCGUGAGGCAUGCUGGAGGUAUCAGAAGUGCGAAUGCUGACAUAAGUAACGAUAAAGCGGGUGAAAAGCCCGCUCGCCGGAAGACCAAGGGUUCCUGUCCAACGUUAAUCGGGGCAGGGUGAGUCGACCCCUAAGGCGAGGCCGAAAGGCGUAGUCGAUGGGAAACGGGUUAAUAUUCCCGUACUUGGUGUUACUGCGAAGGGGGGACGGAGAAGGCUAUGUUGGCCGGGCGACGGUUGUCCCGGUUUAAGCGUGUAGGUGUGUGUUCCAGGUAAAUCCGGUUCACUUUAACACUGAGGCGUGACGACGAGGCACUACGGUGCUGAAGCAACAAAUGCCCUGCUUCCAGGAAAAGCCUCUAAGCAUCAGGUAACACGAAAUCGUACCCCAAACCGACACAGGUGGUCAGGUAGAGAAUACCAAGGCGCUUGAGAGAACUCGGGUGAAGGAACUAGGCAAAAUGGUGCCGUAACUUCGGGAGAAGGCACGCUGACACGUAGGUGAAGUGAUUUACUCAUGGAGCUGAAGUCAGUCGAAGAUACCAGCUGGCUGCAACUGUUUAUUAAAAACACAGCACUGUGCAAACACGAAAGUGGACGUAUACGGUGUGACGCCUGCCCGGUGCCGGAAGGUUAAUUGAUGGGGUCAGCG
rnacentral:rRNA from 1 species